rnacentral:rRNA from 1 species
UAGUCAUAUGCUUGUCUUAAAGAUUAAGCCAUGCACGUCUAAGUAUAAACAAAAAUACAGUAAAACUGCAAAUGGCUCAUUACAACAGUUAUAGUUUCUUUGAUAACAAACAUUUACAUGGAUAACCGUGGUAAUUCUAGAGCUAAUACAUGAGCACAUUCUUGACUGUUUUAGAAGAGAAGCAUUUAUUAGAUAAAAAACCAAUAUAUGUUUUUAAAGCAUAAAUGUUGGUGAUAUACAAUAACUAAGCAAAUCGCACAGUGCAAACUGGCGAUAAAUCAUUCAAGUUUCUGACCUAUCAGCUUUCGACGGUAAGGUAUUGGCUUACCGUGGCAGUGACGGUUAACGGGGAAUUAGGGUUCAAUUCCGGAGAGGGAGCCUGAGAAACGGCUACCACAUCUAAGGAAGGCA